UCCCUGGUGGUCCAGUGGUUAAGACGCCACACUUCCACUGCAGAGGGUCCAGGUUCAGUCCCUGGUUGGGAAA
rfam:TPA: Bos taurus chromosome 10, whole genome shotgun sequence.